rnacentral:rRNA from 1 species
CAUGCAGUCGAGGGGCAGCAUCAUCAAAGCUUGCUUUGAUGGAUGGCGACCGGCGCACGGGUGAGUAACACGUAUCCAACCUGCCGACAACACUGGGAUAGCCUUUCGAAAGAAAGAUUAAUACCGGAUGGCAUAGUUUUCCCGCAUGGGAUAAUUAUUAAAGAAUUUCGGUUGUCGAUGGGGAUGCGUUCCAUUAGGCAGUUGGCGGGGUAACGGCCCACCAAACCUACGAUGGAUAGGGGUUCUGAGAGGAAGGUCCCCCACAUUGGAACUGAGACACGGUCCAAACUCCUACGGGAGGCAGCAGUGAGGAAUAUUGGUCAAUGGACGAGAGUCUGAACCAGCCAAGUAGCGUGAAGGAUGACUGCCCUAUGGGUUGUAAACUUCUUUUAUACGGGAAUAAAGUGAGCCACGUGUGGCUUUUUGUAUGUACCGUAUGAAUAAGGAUCGGCUAACUCCGUGCCAGCAGCCGCGGUAAUACGGAGGAUUCGAGCGUUAUCCGGAUUUAUUGGGUUUAAAGGGAGCGUAGGCGGGUUGUUAAGUCAGUUGUGAAAGUUUGCGGCUCAACCGUAAAAUUGCAGUUGAUACUGGCGACCUUGAGUGCAACAGAGGUAGGCGGAAUUCGUGGUGUAGCGGUGAAAUGCUUAGAUAUCACGAAGAACUCCGAUUGCGAAGGCAGCUUACUGGAUUGUAACUGACGCUGAUGCUC